AAUAUUGGACAAUGGGGGCAACCCUGAUCCAGCCAUGCCGCGUGUGUGAAGAAGGUCGUCGGAUUGUAAAGCACUUUAUGUUGGGAGGAAGGACUUUAGGUUAAUACCCUGAAGUUUUGACGUUACAAACAGAAUAAGCACCGGCUAACUCUGUGCCAGCAGCCGCGGUAAUACAGAGGGUGCAAGCGUUAAGCGGAAUUACUGGGCGUAAAGCGCGCGUAGGUGGUUCAGUAAGAUGGGUGUGAAAUCCCCGGGCUUAACCUCGGAACUGCUUUCAUAACUGCGGAGCUAGAGUACGGUAGAGAGUAGUGGAAGUUCCUGUGUAGCGGUGAAAUACGUAGAUAUAGGAAGAAACACCAGUGGCGAAGGCGACUACCUGGACUGAUACUGACACUGAGGUGCGAAAGCGUGGGGAGCAAAC
rnacentral:rRNA from 1 species